ACCUCUGGCGCGCACGCUGGGACCCGAAAGAUGGUGAACUAUCCUGGUCAGGGCGAAGUCAGGGGAAGCCCUGAUGGAGGUCCGCAGCGAUUCUGACGUGCAAAUCGAUCGUCAGAACUGGGUAUAGGGGCGAAAGACCAAUCGAACCGUCUAGUAGACUGGUUCCCUCCGAAGUUUCCCUUAGGAUAGCUGGCGGGGGGAAUGCGAGAUUCUCUGCGGUAAAGCGAAUGAUUAGAGCGAAUCGGGGUCG
rnacentral:rRNA from 1 species